rnacentral:rRNA from 1 species
AGAAUAAACGCUGGCGGCGUGCCUAGCACAUGCAAGUCGAACGCCCUUUAGCUUCGCAAGGAGUGGGAGGGAGUGGCGGACGGGUGAGGAACACGUGGGUGACCUACCUUUCAGUGAGGAAUACCGGCGAGAAAUCGCCGACAAGACCGUAUACGGUUGCUGCAUCAGCGCAGCAACGAAAGCUUCACGAGAGUGAGGCGCUGGAAGAUGGGCCUGCGGCCGAUUAGCUAGCUGGUGGGGUAACGGCCUACCAGGGCGACGAUCGGUAGCUGGUCUGAGAGGACGAUCAGCCACACUGGGAUUGAGAACGGCCCAGACUCCUACGGGGGGCAGCAGUGAGGAAUUUUCGGCAAUGGGGGCAACCCGUGACCGAGCAACGCCGCGUGCAGGAGGAAGGUCUUCGGAUCGUAAACUGCUUUUCUGUGGGAAGAGAACGGACGGUACCACAGGAAGAAGCCCCGGCUAACCUACGUGCCAGCAGCCGCGGU